CCUUUUGCACAAUGCGUACACACGUAAGGAAAGUCUCUGUUAUGACAACGUCUGUGCUUCCUUAACCUUAAUCGUGUUUGAAAAGCUUUGAGACAAAUAUCACAUUCGAACGCAGCUUGACUCGCAUGUUUCCUACAAUGUAUCUUAAAAUCAUAGUGUCUUUCGAAUGUCUUCUUACAGUCUAUACAAUGAUACCAUUUUUCAUUAGAAUGAAUAGGCAUAUGUGCCUCAAGAUAUUCUUGACGAUUGAACUUUGCAUCGCACUUCUUACAUGAGAAGAUUUCGACUUUAUGUGCUGAUAGAUGCCUGUCGUAGUUAAUAAAACUGUCAAACGUUUUCAAACAUAUAUUGCAGGUUGUUGUACUAAUUUUGUGAAACUGCAUGUGAAGUCGUAAAUGUUGGCGCAUGCCAAAUGCCUUCCCACAGAUACGACAACCAUACGGUUUGGUGUCUAGAUGUUGUAUCAUGUGUUUGAAAAAAUUUCGAUGGUCUAUAUAGCAAUUUCCGCAAAUUAAGCAUUUAUAUGGCUUGUGUGUUCUCUCAUGAAGUUUAAGAAAAUACCUACUUACAAAUUUUGAAUGGCAAAACGAACACGGAAACAACUUAAUCUGAAUAUGCGAGUACAUAUGAGCUUGAAGGUGACACUUCUGAAUGAAUGAUUUGUCACAAACUUCACAAGUAUGAGGGCGACUUUCGGAAUGCAUCUUUAAAUGUAUUCGAAAUGAAUGAAGUGUUCGAAAGCUUUUAUUGCACCGUUUACAUAUCACAUUCGAGGAGUGCUCCUUUUUCAGGUGGAACCGUAAUUUAUUACGUAGAAAGAAUCCUUGGUCACAGACGACACAGUUAUACGGGGCUUUCCUGUCACUAUGGUUAUCAAAUGCUUUAACCCCAUUAUGUUUACAGUCAUCAAGGUAUUUUCUUCUUAUUUCAUGUCUGUAUAAUCCUUCAUGAUAUGAUUGAUAAUGACCAACUUUUAAAUCGAUAUAAAAAUCUUUUCUUUCUUUGUUUUUC
rnacentral:lncRNA from 1 species